rnacentral:rRNA from 1 species
CCCUUAGAUGUUCUGGGCGGCCCGCGCACUACAUUGGCACUAGCAAAGAGAUCCUAGAUUGAAUUCUUUGGGGUAUUCUUCUAAAUGGUGUCGUGACUGGGAUAAAUCCUUGUAAUUAUUGGUUUUGAACGAGGAAUUCCUUGUAAUCGCGGUUUAUCAGCUCGCGUUGAAUGCGUCCCUGCCCUUUGUACACGCCGCCCGUCGCUCCUACCGAUGGAUCGUCCGGUGAAGCUCACGGAGUGACUGUUCACGCAACGGUUUACGAAGUGAAAUGGACCUCACGAUUUAGAGGAAGGAGAAGUCGUAACA